AUGGCGGACGGUGUGGACCACAUAGACAUUUACGCGGAUGUGGGCAAAGAGUUCAACCAGGAAGCUGAAUACGGUGGGCAUGAUCAGGUAGAUUUGUAUGAUGAUGUCAUCUCUCCAUCUGCAAAUAAUGGAGAUGCCCCAGAAGACCGUGAUUACAUGGAUACUCUCCCACCAACUGUUGGUGAUGAUGUGGGUAAAGGAGCAGCACCAAAUGUUGUCUAUACGUAUACUGGAAAGAGAAUUGCAUUGUAUAUUGGAAACUUAACAUGGUGAACAACAGAUAAAGACUUAACUGAAGCAGUGCAUUCUUUGGGAGUAAAUGAUAUUUUGGAGAUAAAAUUCUUUGAAAACUGGGCAAAUGGCCAGUCAAAGGGGUUUGCCCUUGUUGGUGUUGGAUCUGAAGCAUCCUCAAAAAAGUUGAUGGAUCUGUUGCCUAAGAGAGAACUUCAUGGUCAGAAUCCUGUUGUAACUCCAUGCAAUAAACAGUUCCUGAGUCAAUUUGAAAUGCAGUCCAGGAAAACUACACAAUCAGGACAAAUGUCUGGGGAAGGUAAAGCUGGUCCUCCAGGAGGCAGUUCAUGUGCAGCAUUUCCACAAGGUGGUAGAGGAUGGGGCUGUUUUCCGGGGGCUGUUCCCGGUGGGGACAGAUUUCCUGGACCAGCAGGACCAGGAGGGCCACCCCCACCUUUUCCAGCUGGACAGACUCCACACAUCCACCCUUAGGUCCUCCAGGCCCACCUGGUCCACUGGGUCCUCCACCUCCUGGUCAGGUUCUGCCUCCUCCUUUAGCCAGGCCUCCUAAUCGAGGAGAUCACCCUUCACCACCAGUUCUUUUUCCUGGACAACAUUUUGGGCAGCCUCCAUUGGGUCCGCUUCCUCCUGGCCCUCCACCUCCAGUUCCAGGCUACGGCCCCCCUCCUGGUCCACCACCUCCACAGCAGGGACCACCUCCACCUCCAGGCCCUUUUCCACCUCGCCCACCUGGCCCUCUUGGGCCACCCCUUACAUUUGCUCCUCCUCCGCAUCUUCCUGGACCACCUCCAAGUGCUCCACUACCAGCUCCACAUGUGAAUCCGGCUUUCUUUCCUCCACCGACUAACAGCGGCAUGCCUACAUCAGAUAACCGGGGUCCACCACCAACAGAUCCAUAUGGCCGAUCCCCACCAUAUGAUAGGGGUGACUAUGGGCCUCCUGGAAGGGAAAUGGAUACUGCAAGAACGCCAUUGAGUGAAGCUGAGUUUGAAGAAAUCAUGAAUAGAAAUAGGGCAAUCUCAAGCAGUGCUAUUUUAAGAGCUGUGUCUGAUGCCAGUGCUGGUGAUUAUGGGAGUGCUAUUGAGACACUGGUAACUGCAAUUUCUUUAAUUAAACAAUCCAAAGUAUCUGCUGAUGAUCGUUGCAAAGUUCUUAUUAGCUCUUUGCAAGAUUGCCUUCAUGGAAUUGAAUCCAAGUCUUAUGGUUCUGGAUCAAGACAUGAACGAUCAAGAGAGAGGGAUCAUAGUAGAUCACAAGAAAAGAGUCGGCGUCAUAAAUCCCAUAGUAGAGAUCGUCAUGAUGAUUAUUAUAGAGAGAGAAGCAGAGAACGAGAGAGACAUCAGGACCGGGACCAAGAUCGGGACCGAGAACGGGACCAAGAGCGCGAGUAUCAUCAUCGUUAGAAGAAGCUGAAGGAAGAGGAACACCUUCCAAGACGAAACAGUCUUCAUGGGGGAAAAAUGACGCUUGUCCAGCAGUUUGCUUCUUGUGAUUGAACUGAACCUGUAAGGAUUCAUGGAUAAAAUGAAUAGGAAUAGAUCUGAAUAAAGCAAAUCUGCAUAAAUGAUAACCAGUAACUCUUAUUUUUUAUGUUGCUUAACUGUUUUAUUUGAAGGAAACCUGUGUGAUUUAAAAAGUUAUAGCUUUUGCAACUUUAUUACUGGUUAUAUACAUUUGGCCAUUAUAAUGUGCAAGCAAUUGGAAAAAAAAGUCAAGUAAAUGCUUGUUUUUAUAGUAGUUUGUUCUUGUUAAAAAUGUUCAUAUGAUAAUGUCUGUAAACAGCACCACUUUGAUUACAAUAGAUGUAGUGUUGUAAUAAACUGUUUAAUGGG